GUUAACACCAUGUAGGGGAGCAGGUGCCUUAAAGUCUGGCUUCGCCCCCAAAAGCUGUCCACAGCAAGGUGGUGAUAUAAUGAUGAUCCCCUGCAGUUUCAGAAGUAUCUGUCAUGAAUACGCCUUAUAUCCAAAAGAAAAAGAAGAAGGGGGAAAAAAAAGAAAGACAGUUCUUCAGUUCUUCCCACCGGAGAAUAAAGUCAUACAGCAGAUCUGUGGCCUUCAAACUCCAGUUACCUAUGGAGAUGAAAACGCACCCAGGAUUUCAUGUCUCCUAAUGGAAAAAUCACACGGACCACACCUUCCCUGGA